rnacentral:rRNA from 1 species
CCUACGGGAGGCAGCAGUGGGGAAUAUUGCACAAUGGGGGAAACCCUGAUGCAGCAACGCCGCGUGAGGGAGGAAGUAUUUCGGUAUGUAAACUUCUAUCAGCAGGGACUAGAAAAGUAGGUAUCUGAAAAAGAAGCGCCGGCUAACUACGUGCCAGCAGCCGCGGUAAUACGUAGGGGGCAAGCGUUAUCCGGAUUUACUGGGUGUAAAGGGAGCGUAGACGGAAAGGCAAGUAAGAGGUGAAAACACAAGGCUCAACCAAGGGACUGCUUUUGAAACUGUCAAACUAGAGUACGGGAGAGGUAAGAGGAAUUCCGAGUGUAGCGGUGAAAUGCGUAGAUAUUAGGAGGAACGCCAGUGGCGAAGGCGUCUUACUGGACCGAAACUGACGUUGAGGCGCGAAAGCGUGGGGAGCAAACAGGAUUAGAUACCCUUGUAGUC